rnacentral:rRNA from 1 species
CCAAUAGCGUAUAUUAAAGUUGUUGCAGUUAAAAAGCUCGUAGUUGAACCUCGGGGUCUACCCAUUGGUCAGGCUUAAUUGUCUGCACUGGUGAGAUGGAUCUCUACCUUCUGAGGAACUUUCAUGCCAUUUAUUUGGUGUGAUGGGAAAUCAGGACUGUUACUUUGAAAAAAUUAGAGUGUUUAAAGCAGACUAUCGUCUGAAUACAUUAGCAUGGAAUAAUGAAAUAGGACGGACUGAUUCUAUUUCGUUGGUUUCUAGGAUCACCGUAAUGAUUAAUAGGGAUAGUUGGGGGCAUUAGUAUUCAAUUGUCAGAGGUGAAAUUCUUGGAUUUAUUGAAGACUAACUACUGCGAAAGCAUUUGCCAAGGAUGUUUUCAUUAAUCAAGAACGAAAGUUAGGGGAUCGAAGACGAUCAGAUACCGUCGUAGUCUUAACCAUAGACUAUGCCGACUAGGGAUCGGAUGAUGUUAAUUUUUUAAUGACUCAUUCGGCGCCUUACG